rnacentral:rRNA from 1 species
UACGGAGGGUGCAAGCGUUAUUCGGAAUUACUGGGCGUAAAGCGCGUGCAGGCGGGUAUGCAAGUCUGAUGUGAAAGCCCCGGGCUCAACCUGGGAAGUGCAUUGGAAACUGCAUAUCUUGAGUACUGGAGAGGAUGGGGGAAUUCCCGGUGUAGAGGUGAAAUUCGUAGAGAUCGGGAGGAAUACCAGUGGCGAAGGCGCCCAUCUGGACGGUAACUGACGCUGAGACGCGAAAGCGUGGGGAG